rnacentral:ncRNA from 1 species
CCCACUAAGUUAAAGCAUAUCAAUAAGCGGAGGAAAAUAAACUAACAAGGAUUUCCUUAGUAAUAGCGAGCAAACCGAGAAGAGCCCACCAUGAAAAUCGAUUGUCUUUGGCAUCUGAAUUAUAGUUUAGAGAAGCGUCCUCAGUGGCAGACCGGGCCCAAGUCUCCUGGAAGGGGGCGCCAGAGAGGGUGAGAGCCCCGUCGUGCCCGGACCCUGUCGCACCACGAGGCGUUGUUGAUGAGUCAGGUUGUUUGGGAUUGUAUCCCCAAUCAGGUAGUAAAUUUUGUUCAAGGCUAAACAUUGGCGAGAGACCGAUAGCAAACAAGUACCGCAAGGGAAAGAUGAAAAGGACUUUAAAAAGAGAGUGAAAGAGUGCUUGAAAUUGUCGGGAGGGAAGCGGAUGGGGGUUGACGGUAUGUCCCGGUCAUAUGUGGAAUGGUGUUAGCCAGUCUACUGAUCGACUCGGGGCAUUGACCGAUGCGAAUUGUGACGGUGGCCCAAGCCCAAUGCGAAUUGUGACGGUGGCCCAAGCCCGGGUUGUCGAAAUGUUUGUGGAGACGUCAUUGUCACGAUUGUGGACGGUAGCAUGCAUCUACCUGAGCUUUUGAAAACUAUUCCCAAGGAUUUUAACCCAUUAAGAAUUGUUUGGAAGCAUCCAAACAUCUUAUCAAUGG